rnacentral:lncRNA from 10 species
CUUUAAGCAGUCAGGUGACUUCAGGUUGUGUUGGGGAAACCAGCAGGCAUACUUUAAGGAAGCUCAGGCUGGAAUAUUAAACUGUGAGGCAGGCUUGGAGAAAGAGAGGCCACAGUGCAGGAGCACGGAGGCACCAUCUAAGAGUUGUCCUUUACAGGCCGGGCGUGGUGGCUCACGCCUGUAAUCCCAGCUCUUUGGGAGGCUGAGGCGGGUGGAUCACCUGAGGUCAGGAGUUCGAGACCAGCCUAGCCAACAUGGCCAUACCCCAUCUCUACCGAAAAUACAAAAGUUAGCCGGGUGUGGUGGCACGUACCUGUAAUCCCAGCUACUCAGAAGGCUGAGGCCGAAGAAUUGCUUGAAUUUGGGUGGCAGAGUUUGCAGUGAGCCAAGAUUUCGCCACUGCACUCCAGCCUGGGUGAUAGAGAGAGACUCCGGCUCAAAAAAAAAAAAAAAAAAAAGUUGUCCUUUACAAUGUCUUAAUACCUCUUUCGUUAUCAUCUACACUUAAAAAGCAUUAUUAAAUUAACAAUAAGGUAAAUUACACAUUAUUAUUAGUUGUUUACUCUAUGCCUCUUAUAUUUCAAGAAUCUUUUUUGAAAGAUUGCAUAAAAUUCCACAACCACAUUGUCAGCCAUUAGAAUAAACUAUCAGCUUAACAGUU